rnacentral:rRNA from 1 species
AUACGGAGGAUGCGAGCGUUAUCCGGAUUUAUUGGGUUUAAAGGGUGCGUAGGCUGUGCGUUAAGUCAGGGGUGAAAUGCCGUCGCUCAACGACGGAGCUGCCCUUGAUACUGGUGUGCUGGAGUACGGAUGCCGUUGGAGGAAUGAGUGGUGUAGCGGUGAAAUGCUUAGAUAUCACUCAGAACACCGAUUGCGAAGGCAUCUGGCGAAUCCGUCACUGACGCUGAGGCACGAAAGCGUGGGGAUAGAACAGGAUUAGAUACCCUGGUAUUCCACGCCGUAAACGAUGAUGACUAACCGUCGGCGAUAGACAGCCGGUGGCCAAGCGAAAGCGAUAAGUCAUCCACCUGGGGAGUACGGCCGCAAGGUUGAAACUCAAAGGAAUUGACGGGG